GACAGAGGUGCCAAGCGUUAGGCGGAAUCACUGGGCUUAAAGCGUGUGUAGGCGGAAUGGUAAGUACCUUGUGAAAUCCCACGGCUCAACCGUGGAACUGCUGGGCAUACUGGGAGUCUUGGGCCAUUCAGGGGCAACUGGAACAAGCGGUGGAGCGGUGAAAUGCGUAGAUAUCGCUUGGAACGCCGAAGGUGAAAACAGGUUGCUGGGGAUGUGCCGACGCUGAGACACGAAAGCCAGGGGAGCAAACGGG
rnacentral:rRNA from 1 species